rnacentral:rRNA from 1 species
UCGAGGAUCUUCGGCAAUGGGCGCAAGCCUGACCGAGCGACGCCGCGUGGACGAUGAAGGCCUUCGGGUUGUAAAGUCCUUUAGUGGGGGAGGAAGGCGCAAGCUUGACCUAUCCCAAGAAUAAGCACGGGCUAAGUUCGUGCCAGCAGCCGCGGUAAGACGAACCGUGCGAACGUUGUUCGGAAUCACUGGGCUUAAAGGGCGCGUAGGCGGUCUGCCAAGUCCGGGGUGAAAGCCCCCAGCUCAACUGGGGAAGUGCCUUGGAUACUGGCGGACUCGAGGGAGGCAGGGGUCGUGGGAACUUCCGGUGGAGCGGUGAAAUGCGUUGAUAUCGGAAGGAACGCCGGUGGCGAAAGCGCACGACUGGUCCUCUUCUGACGCUGAGGCGCGAAAGCCAGGGGAGCAAACGGGAUUAGAUACCCCCGUAGUCC